AAACUGGAUAAGAAAUUUAAUUCUUAUGUCUGCUUUGAAAUUAAUGCUUUUCAAAAUGUGUAUCAGACAUAAUGCAUUUCAGAAAUUUGCAUGAAAUUAGCUUUCUUGAUGAUGCUCUUUUCUUUCCUGUAAUGUUAUUGCUAUUUCAGGCAUUGUAAGAAUUCCACAGUUUCUAAAUAUGGGAUGUGUUUCAUCAAGAAUCAUUGUUGAGGAUACAACACGACCAAUUUUCCAUUAUGAUGCUUUUUGCCAACUAAUGAAGAAUUAAGAUGUUUUGGAAGCCUAUAUAGUUUAAUUGCAGUAAUUAUUUUGUGUCAAUGUAAUAUUCAUAUUGGGCAUGCUUAUUAUGUGGUAUGGAAUAUUGAUGAAGACGGACAUUAUA
rnacentral:misc_RNA from 1 species